UGGUCAACAGAGGGAAGCAAUACCGCGAGGUGGAGCAAAUCCCUAAAAGCCAUCCCAGUUCGGAUCGCAGGCUGCAACCCGCCUGCGUGAAGUUGGAAUCGCUAGUAAUCGCGGAUCAGCAUGCCGCGGUGAAUACGUUCCCGGGCCUUGUACACACCGCCCGUCACACCAUGAGAGUCGGGAACACCCGAAGUCCGUAGCCUAACCGCAAGGGGGGCGCGGCCGAAGGUGGGUUCGAUAAUUGGGGUGAAGUCGUAACAAGGUACC
rnacentral:rRNA from 1 species